CUCGCGCCACCGCCGCGUGGAAGUGCCGCCGGUCGUUGCCCUAAGCCCUAGAUCUGUCUUCUUUUUCCCAAUUGGCGUUGCUUCGCGUUUUCUCUCCCACGCAAACAAGCCUUGGCCAAGGAAGCCCUACCGCCAGCAACGAUCUUCGAUGUGUCUCACCACCUGCCGAGCCCUUUUUCCUUCUCCCUUACUGUGGUCGCGCCACUUCCGCCAGCCAUCCGCGCGGGAUUUGUCGGCGACGCAGUGACGCCGACAGAGGAUGAUUCUUUCCCGACUGUCUCAGCCUCACCGCGCCGCCUGAGGACCUCAUCGGAGUCUUGAAGGUGCUGACCAAUCGCUUCCUCGUCCCCAUCCACCUCCGGCGAUGAGGUCAGUGCGGGCGCCAUUCUCAUCGGGUGUUGAUGUCCCUCGGCCCUUGUGCCGGCUGCCAUCUUCUUAUUGUGCCCUAGCGCCGCUGUCGACGCCAACAGCCACCACCAGACGCUUCUGGUUCUUCACUGUCGGCCGAGGGUUGUUGCUCUCCUUUGUGACGACCACCGGACUUGGAGUUUGUUCAGCCACUGGAUUUCCGACGUUAUCCGAUUUCAGCCACGUCCGGCAGUGACUCGACAGUUCGGGCAUUUAUGUUUGGGGCUUUUGGAAUUUGCGGUGGCGAUUUUGCUUCGGCUAAGGACCUCAAGGAAGAGGUUUCUAAGGACAUUGAUUUGGGAUGAGCACUUUGACGCAGAGGUUGUCUAGCUCGAUCUACAUUUGAGGCGGGUACC